rnacentral:misc_RNA from 1 species
UAACCGUAGGUGAACCUGCGGUUGGAUCAUUACAGAAUACUCAGUCGGGAAUUUCGGUUCCCGAGUGAUAUUACACCCCCUUGUGAACUUUAUUUGUAUAUUUUUCUCGUAGGAGUCUUUCUCGAAAGGGGGAAAUUUCUAAGCGGAAAAUAUUUACACACACCUUUAUAUUUUAUUUCUAGAGUCUCCGAGCGAUUCUUAUUGAGAAACGCGUUUUUCAAAUAAUUAAAAACAACUUUUGACAACGGAUCUCUUGGCUCUCACAUCGAUGAAGAACGCAGC